rnacentral:misc_RNA from 1 species
GAUGAAGAACGCAGCGAAAUGCGAUAAGUAAUGUGAAUUGCAGAAUUCAGUGAAUCAUCGAAUCUUUGAACGCACAUUGCGCCGCCAGUAUUCUGGCGGGCAUGCCUGUUCGAGCGUCAUUUCAACCAUCAAGCCCCCGGCUUGUGUUGGGGACCUGCGGCUGCCGCAGGCCCUGAAAAGCAGUGGCGGGCUCGCUGUCACACCGAGCGUAGUAGCAUACAUCUCGCUCUGGGCGUGCUGCGGGUUCCGGCCGUUAAACCACCUUCAUAACCCAAGGUUGACCUCGGAUCAGGUAGGAAGACCCGCUGAACUUAAGCAUAUCAAUAAGCGGAGGA